AGGUUAUCAUCCUCUGCCAGGAAUGUGGCUCUGGAGUGGGACUAGCACUGCACAGUGCCAGUGAGCAAAGGAGAAGGGGUUUUUUAUGAGAAUGGCAAUAGCUUGUAGGUUGCCAGCAGCGAUCUAGAGUCAAGAUCACUCUUUUUGUGUACCUGUGAAAUCCUGCAGAAUUAAGACUUAAGGCUGCAUCUGGACUGCAGUUGGGUCAAAGGAUCCCAGAGCUCAUCACUGCAGCUGGGUUGGCUUUAAAUUCCAUAUUUUGGGUGCCAGGUGCACUUAUGUCGUCACACAAAGGAGUGGCCGUGUUGUUCAGUGGACAUGGGCCCUGCUCUUGGUGAACACUCCCACUACAAGCCCUCCUCAGCCUGAGUUUGGAGAGGGACAAUGAAUAUACAGGAGGGGAGGAGAGAAGAAAGUUGGAGACAGACAUCCAAAAAAGUCCCAUGCCCAGCUCUUCCUCAGUGCAAUGUUGAGACUGAGGGCCCAAGCAGCAGCCAGGCUAGCAGCCAGAAAUAUGGACAAAAGGCAGCUGCUGCUUUCUGGGGAGGAAGAGAGAGGAGUGAAUGCAUGGCAGCUGUUUGGUAAUGGGUAGCCUGAGAAAUUCCCAUCACAGUUCUGAUCUGCUCAGGUGGACCUGUGUUCUUUCCCAGCCUGUGAAGGGAGAAAAAAUGUCUAGCAGACAAAAAAUAAAUUAUUUCAGAAACUCU
rnacentral:lncRNA from 1 species